rnacentral:rRNA from 1 species
AGUGAACGCUGGCGGUAGGCCUAACACAUGCAAGUCGAACGGCAGCACAGUAAGAGCUUGCUCUUACGGGUGGCGAGUGGCGGACGGGUGAGGAAUACAUCGGAAUCUACUUUUUCGUGGGGGAUAACGUAGGGAAACUUACGCUAAUACCGCAUACGACCUACGGGUGAAAGCAGGGGAUCUUCGGACCUUGCGCGAUUGAAUGAGCCGAUGUCGGAUUAGCUAGUUGGCGGGGUAAAGGCCCACCAAGGCGACGAUCCGUAGCUGGUCUGAGAGGAUGAUCAGCCACACUGGAACUGAGACACGGUCCCGACUCCUACGGGAGGCAGCAGUGGGGAAUAUUGGACAAUGGACGCAAGCCUGAUCCAGCCAUACCGCGUGGGUGAAGAAGGCCUUCGGGUUGUAAAGCCCUUUUGUUGGUAAAGAAAAGCAGCAGGUUAAUACCCCGCUGUUCUGACGGUACCCAAAGAAUAAGCACCGGCUAACUUCGUG